UACAGAGGUCUCAAGCGUUGUUCGGAUUCAUUGGGCGUAAAGGGUGCGUAGGCGGCGCGGUAAGUCGGGUGUGAAAUUUCGGAGCUUAACUCCGAAACUGCAUUCCAUACUGCGGUGCUUGAGGACUGGAGAGGAGACUGGAAUUUACGGUGUAGCAGUGAAAUGCGUAGAGAUCGUAAGGAAGACCAGUGGCGAAGGCGGGUCUCUGGACAGUUCCUGACACUGAGGCACGAAGGCCAGGGGAGCAAACGGG
rnacentral:rRNA from 1 species